rnacentral:tRNA from 1 species
UUAAUAGAAAUGAAAUUAUCAUUUAUGGUUUCGACCCAUAACUUUGGUGUUUAUCACCCUAUUCAG